AUUUGCUUAACUAGAAUUCGUAGGUCGGAUCAUUCUUAGCAAUAUCACUAUACGUACUCUUGAUGGUUAACAUUCUAUAUCUUUUGAAUCGUGGGUGAAGUUGACGAUGAGCAUUUUUCGACAAUAUUAAUAUUAUAGAAGUGCUAUAUUAUAUUAUAUGAUAUUAUAUUUAUGCAUACAAAACAAUAGCAUAUUGAAUCAUCAUGAAUAAGUAGGCUUUGUCAACAAAAAAAAAAAAAGUAGAUAUUGAUUUCUCUUGCAAAAGCACUCCAAGCUAUUGUAACUACUAGAUUUUAAACUAUAUUAACUCUCAUUCAUCAGCGGUGGAAUAUUAAGGGAACAAAAAAGAUUAAAAUAGAAAAGAAAAAGAACAAAAUAUAAUUAAAUUCCAAAAUAUGUAGCUAGCUAGCAUCUUCAUGGAGGUGGUGUUUGAUGUCCUACCCCAGGGCUAUGUCCUGGACUUGUAGGGCGAAAAGCAUCGUCACCACCCUUAUCAUCGUUUAUCGAAUACCAAUAAUCAUGUGAAGGAGCUUGUGGACUUUUAGGAAUAGUUGGUGGUGGAUUAAUAUUUAGCAACCUUGAUGCUUCAAUUGAACCAAUGUUUUGUUGCAUAAUAAUAAGAAGUAAAAAUGUUAAUAACAUGGUUUUCUCACCCAUGAUGAAACUCUUUAAGCUAAAAGAGGUUACAAAAAAAAUUUAAUGAGGUUUGAAUGGAGGAAGAGAAAAAAAAGAGAGGGUGAUUUUGAAUAAAAAUCUAGCUGAAUGCAAUGAUGCAAGUGAUAUAGAGUGAGAGUGAGAUUGGUAUUUAACAUGAUUGUUAAGGUCCCACGUGCAAUACAUGAUAUUCAUAAGCCUUCAACAUGAACAUAAAAUAAGAGUUUGAUGCACAUGGUGAUGUCUCUUAAAAAUUAAUGAAAGUGUAUAAAUAGAAAGAAAAUUGCAAGCAUUGGAAUAUUUUCCAGAUGAAGCAAGUUCAGCACUCUAUGCCCUAUUACAAUUUCCU
rnacentral:lncRNA from 1 species